CAGUAGCCGCGGUAAAACGAAGGGGGCUAGCGUUGCUCGGAAUGACUGGGCGUAAAGGGCGCGUAGGCGGAUCACGCAGUCAGAUGCGAAAUUCCUGGGCUUAACCCGGGGGCUGCAUUUGAGACGCGUGGUCUAGAGUGUGAAAGAGGGUCGUGGAAUUCCCAGUGUAGAGGUGAAAUUCGUAGAUAUUGGGAAGAACACCGGUGGCGAAGGCGGCGACCUGGUUCAUGACUGACGCUGAGGCGCGAAAGCGUGGGGAGCAAACAGGAUUAGAGACCCCAGUAGUCCCUGUCUCUUAUAC
rnacentral:rRNA from 1 species